AUACGGAGGGUGCAAGCGUUAUUCGGAAUCACUGGGCGUAAAGGACACGUAGGCGGGAAGCCAAGUCUGAUGUGAAAUCCUACAGCUUAACUGUAGAACUGCAUUGGAAACUGGUUACCUAGAGUAUGGGAGGGGGAGAUGGAAUUAGUGGUGUAGGGGUAAAAUCCGUAGAUAUCACUAGGAAUACCUAAAGCGAAGGCGAUCUCCUGGAACAUUACUGACGCUAAGGUGUGAAAGCGUGGGGAGCAAACGGGAUUAGAAACCCUAGUAGUCC
rnacentral:rRNA from 1 species